UUGCUCUUCAACGAGGAAUUCCUAGUAAGCGUGAGUCAUCAGCUCGCGUUGAUUACGUCCCUGCCCUUUGUACACACCGCCCGUCGCUACUACCGAUUGAAUGGCUUAGUGAGGUCUUGGGAUUGGCUUCGGGGAGCCGGCAACGGCACCCUGUCGCUGAGAACUUGAUCAAACUUGGUCAUUUAGAGGAAGUAAAAGUCGUAACAAGGUUUCCGUAGGUGAACCUGCGGAAGGAUCAUUAACGAGUUUUGACAUGGGUUGUAGCUGGCCUCACGAGGCAUGUGCACGCCCUGCUCAUCCACUCUACACCUGUGCACUUACUGUAGGUUUGGCGUGGGCUUUCGGGGCCUUCACGGGCUUUGUGAGCAUUCUGCCUGCCUAUGUAUCACUAUAAACACUACGAAGUAACAGAAUGUAAUCGCGUCUAACGCAUCUUAAUACAACUUUCAGCAACGGAUCUCUUGGCUCUCGCAUCGAUGAAGAACGCAGCGAAAUGCGAUAAGUAAUGUGAAUUGCAGAAUUCAGUGAAUCAUCGAAUCUUUGAACGCACCUUGCGCUCCUUGGUAUUCCGAGGAGCAUGCCUGUUUGAGUGUCAUGGUAUUCUCAACCCACACAUCCUUGUGAUGCUUGUGAGGCUUGGACUUGGAGGCUUGCUGGCCCAUCGCGGUCGGCUCCUCUUGAAUGCAUUAGCUUGGUUCCUUGCGGAUCGGCUCUCAGUGUGAUAAUUGUCUACGCUGUGACCGUGAAGCGUUUGGCGAGCUUCUAACCGUCCUGCUAGGGACAACUUACUUGACAUCUGACCUCAAAUCAGGUAGGACUACCCGCUGAACUUAAGCAUAUCAAUAAGCGGAGGA
rnacentral:rRNA from 1 species